ensembl:miRNA
CCGGUUGACGUACCUGCUUGGGGGACAUACUUCUUUAUGUGCCCAUAUGGACCUGCUAAGCUAUGGAAUGUAAAGAAGUAUGUAUUUCAGGCUGGGAACUCUCACCGG